GACGAACGCUGGCGGCGUGCUUAACACAUGCAAGUCGAACGCUGAAGCUUGGUGCUUGCACUGGGAGGAUGAGCGGCGAACGGGUGAGUAAUACGUACGUCACAUGCUAUUUUUUCUGGGAUAAGCCUGUGAAAAUGGGUCUGAUACUACAUAAUACGUGCCACCGCAUGGUGGUGUGUGGCUAGGGAUUUUGUGGUAUUGGAUGGGCUGACGGCCUAUGAGCUAGUUGGUGGGGUAAUGGCACACCAAGGCGACGACGGGUAGCCGGCCUGAGAGGGUGAACGGCGACACUGGGACUGAGAGACGGACCAGACUCCUACGGGAGGCAGCAGUGGGGAGUAUUGCACAAUGGGCGGAAGCCUGAUGCAGCGACGCCGCGGGAGGAAUGACGGCCUUCGGGGAGUAAACCGCUUUCAGCACGGAAGAAGCGAAAGUGACGGUACGUGCAGAAGAAGCGCCGGCUAACUACGUG
rnacentral:rRNA from 1 species